GGGAAGAAAAAAAAAAAAAAAAAGAUGUGCAGGGUAUUAAGCACUUUAAGACCAAGCCAGCAGAUGAUGAGAUGCGGUUCCUCUACGGCCACUACAAACGAGCGACUGUAGGCAACAUAAAGACAGAACGGCCCAGGAUGGUGGACUUCAAGGGCAAAGCCAAGUGAGAUCCCUGGAAUUAGCUGAAAGGGGCUGCCAGGGAAGAUCCCAUGAAAGCUAAAGCUUACGUCAACAAAGUAGAAGAGUUAAAGAAAAAAUUCAGAAUA
rnacentral:lncRNA from 1 species